rnacentral:rRNA from 1 species
GUGGGGAAUAUUGGACAAUGGGGGGAACCCUGAUCCAGCCAUGCCGCGUGUGUGAAGAAGGCCUUUUGGUUGUAAAGCACUUUAAGCGAGGAGGAGGCUACCGAGAUUAAUACUCUUGGAUAGUGGACGUUACUCGCAGAAUAAGCACCGGCUAACUCUGUGCCAGCAGCCGCGGUAAUACAGAGGGUGCAAGCGUUAAUCGGAUUUACUGGGCGUAAAGCGCGCGUAGGUGGCAAAUUAAGUCAAAUGUGAAAUCCCCGAGCUUAACUUGGGAAUUGCAUUCGAUACUGGUUGGCUAGAGUAUGGGAGAGGAUGGUAGAAUUCCAGGUGUAGCGGUGAAAUGCGUAGAGAUCUGGAGGAAUACCGAUGGCGAAGGCAGCCAUCUGGCCUAAUACUGACACUGAGGUGCGAAAGCAUGGGGAGCAAACAGGAUUUGAUACCCGAGUAGUCC